UACGUAGGGUGCGAGCGUUGUCCGGAAUUAUUGGGCGUAAAGAGCUCGUAGGCGGUCUGUCGCGUCGAUCGUGAAAACUUGGGGCUUAACCCUGAGCUUGCGGUCGAUACGGGCAUGACUGGAGUUCGGCAGGGGAGACUGGAAUUCCUGGUGUAGCGGUGAAAUGCGUAGAUAUGCGGAGGAACACCGAUGGCGAAGGCAAUCCCCUGGGCCUGCACUGACGCUCAUGCACGAAAGCGUGGGGAGCAAACAGG
rnacentral:rRNA from 1 species